CACGUAGGGCGCAAGCGUUGUCCGGAAUUAUUGGGCGUAAAGAGCUCGUAGGCGGUCUGUUACGUCUGCUGUGAAAACCCAGGGCUUAACCCUGGGCUUGCAGUGGAUACGGGCAGACUAGAGGCAGGUAGGGGAGAAUGGAAUUCCCGGUGUAGCGGUGAAAUGCGCAGAUAUCAGGAGGAACACCGAUGGCGAAGGCAGAUCUCUGGGCCGUAACUGACGCUGAGGAGCGAAAGCAUGGGGAGCGAACAGG
rnacentral:rRNA from 1 species